rnacentral:sRNA from 1 species
AAGAAAGUGACUGCUGCCCCGCACAGGGGCGAAGCUAAUAGACCAAUAUCAAAUCAAGUUUCAUAGGAGCGCAGGCGCAUCAGACGGUUCUGCAACGGCCGAAUCCAAGCGCUAGCGACAA